CUAUGUAGAUAGAUAUUUGCUUAUUGCAUUGUACCGAAUGGUUUAGAUCUCUAGUUAUGGUUGCUUAGCGCAAUAUUGAGGCGGGUAGCUUUUAUAAACUUACUAGUGGGGUGAUAAAUUAGUCGUUAAACCGUAUAGCUGUUUUAAGUUUUGUAUAUUUUGUGUACCCCACUGGCGAGGAGGUCAGUGGGAUGAUUAUAACUUUUUUGGUUAUGUUAAUUAAGUAAGGUUAAAGUUACCUUUCUUUUAUGAGUAUGUUAUUAUACAUUAUAAAAUCUUGUAGGGUUUAAUUGGAGUAAACUUAAUUUGUAAUUAUACGAGUCUUUAGAAUUGUUUAAUAAGUAAUACUAUUGGUUUUUUUGUUUCUCAUUACUGGUCCGUCUGUUUAUUAAAAACAUUGUUAUAAGAUUAAAUUAUUUAUGAUAGUACCUGCUCUAUGUUUAAAGGAUAAAUGGCCGCAGUAUAUUGACUGUGCGAAGGUAGCAUAAUUAAUUGCCUUCUAAUUAGGGGCUUGUUUGAAUGGUUUGACGAGAUUAGUUGUAACAUGAAGACUUUUGAUGAAAUUAAUGUUGUGAAUAUAGAAUUUACAGUGGUUAAUUAGACGGAAAGACCCUAGAAUCUUUUAUUUUUGCUUGGGGCCAGUGUAAAUAUUUUAUUUAUUUUGGGAACCUAAUGGGUUAUAGAUUUAAGUUACUCUAGGGAUAACAGGGUUAUAGCUUAGUAGAGUUCUUAUCGAUUAAGUUGUUUGCUACCUCGAUGUUGACUUGGGUUAAUACUUUGGCGCAGUAGUUGAAGUUUGUGGUCUGUUCGACCAUAUGUACCCUCAUGAGUUGAGUUAAGACCGGCGUGA
rnacentral:rRNA from 1 species